ensembl:lncRNA
AUUUUCAUCGCAUUUGGAAACCAGUCCUUUGGUUCCCAUUUUGUGAAAACAGAGUGUGAGCGACACAGCGGUCCUCUGGUCCUCUCUGUGCCUUGAGCUCCUCCUGAGCCACCUGCAGUGAGGAAAGAAGAGCCUGUGAGGACGAGGCCUUAGGAAAGAGUUCUCACAUUGCGAACAUCUAUCCGGACGUCACUUACUUCUCCUUUCCCAAAAUAGGACUUCGACUCGGCCCUAAUUUGUUGUCCUUCAGAGAGAAGCUGCGUUUGAAGAUGAGCAUGAGUCCCGCCCUCCGCGCUCUGGCGCAGGCGCACGCGCACGCGCUGAAGGCUUCUCUGAAACAUGGCUGCGGGGCUGGGCCACGGGGCCUUCCUCCUGCGAAGUUUUCCUUAGGAUGUUCGGAACUUCAGCGGGAACCACCGUGUGCGAUUCCUGUCGACCUUAAAUGCCGACUCUGCGGAAAGGUUUCCCGGACAGGCCAGCCUCUUUUCCACGGCCAUCCCUGGGGGCAGGUGCUUGCCGGGAUUCUGUAUCCGCUUAACAAACUGAAUAUGGUGAAAACAAGCACCUAGGGCAACCUAGAAACUGAAAGAAAAGGAUAGGGAGAGACUAUCUUACGCAUCGAAAGCCUGGAGGCUAGAAGACUAGGAUGAAGCAAGAGGUUGCUACAAGAAGACUUCUCCAAGGUGUGGGACCUCGCAUCAGCGAGAACAGGGACUGCAAAGGACACCUUCUCCCUCCCUAAAGCUUGGAAGCCCACACUGACCAUGAUGGAAAGGCAGAACGUGAUUACAACUUGAUCUCUUCGCCUUGAACUUGGAAGUAACAGCUUGCCCUGCCAGUUCUCUGAAGCGGCUGGUGCUGCAGGGGAGGGAGGGGGUCCUCGUCUUCUCCCUGCAUGAGAACAGCAGGUAUCGGGUACCCCGCUGCGGGAGGCCCACAACUGAGUUCCAAUGAAGGAGCCCCCAAAGCAAACAGUCUAAAGCUCCGGACCUUCCUAAAACCACUUUGCCACCCGACUAAAGCCAGAUGGCCUGAAUGUAUUCCAAGUCGUCUCCUUGUGCGGAAAAUCCCUUAAGAUUCAAAUUUCAGAGUCCUGGGCCCGGACUCAGACCUACUAAAUUAGCUUUUCGGGGGGUGGGCCCUGGACAUUUGCAUUUUGCAGAUUUAGGGGAUUCUGAGGCAUCCUAGAGUUUAGGAAACGCUGGAUUUGAGAACUAAAGACUUAAACUCUUUCUCAGAAAAAUUUGGCCCGGUGCGAUCAUAAACGUCUUUAGACCAGUAUUUUUCUCAAGCUCCCUUUUGCUACGAUGUUAACCAGGCCCUGGGGAGGUGCAGGUUCAUUACAGAACACAAGAUCUGUUCACAGAAGGUGGCAUCCCGUUCAUCUAAAUGCCUCUGACUUGCUAAUCCUGCUGUUGGCGGCUUAAUAGUUUGCUCUGAACAAAAGGAGCAGAGACAGCAGGUGAAUCUGAUUUGUGCUUGCAGUUGCCAUGGCAACGGCAGGCAGCCGAAAUCGCUGGCUAGAAAGGACCCCCUCCCAGGCCAUCCCUCCGUUCCAUUGUGAAAGCUCCGGCUCUGCUCGCCUCAGACUGGAAAUCUGGCCUCCUUGGGGCAGGGUUGAUAAAUGUGUAUUCCCAAAAGAAGUAAAUAGGAAAUCGUGCUUUCCUACCGCUCUGUUUUCUUCUCUUACGUGUCUUCCAAAAGCAUCUCAGCAUAACCCAAACAGGAUGGAAAUUCUUCUCAUCUCCUGGCAUAAAUCUCAUCUUGCCUCCUGCUUGCUGGGGAAUAGGAGGAGGUGAACUUCUGUGGUCCGGCCCAACUCAGAGCAGGGAAGGAGGCUGAGAGACACUACUUGACCUGGGAGUAGAGGUAAGGGGGCGCCCUCUACAAGCAGCACCAUUACUUCCGGGCCACAGAGGAAGUAGAGCCAUCAACGUCCUUGGGACAGAAAAGGCAACCCUCUGGGCCCUUCUCUCCCCUCCCAGCACCACCCUUAACAACAUCUCAGUAACCACAAAGGGCCACCCAGCCCCUUAUCCAUCCUUAAGAUGCAUAUCCCCUUCCAAUGCCUGUCUUUCAGAUCACUCAAGGCUCUCUGCGUCCUUCCUCAAAAGGGAAGAUAUUCAGGGCUCAUUCUGCUGAGUUCUUUCAAGUUGAGAAGAUUGAUAUGGUAAAACUCACUAAUGUGUAAAAACAGUAAGUGUUACCACUAUAGGGCUUCAGAGUAUAUCACCCCAAAAUAUACCAUUUUGGCAUAUUGAUUAUUUCGAAUUAAAGGCACUUGAGAAACAGCCAGUGCAAAAAGAACACUGACCCUCUUUUGUCCCUCUGAAAGCAGGAGGACCUUCCUGUUUUGGUCACUUCUUUGAGUCUUAUAUCUUUGUGGGGCUUAAGUACAUACAUACAUAAUUAAAUUUGUCUUUCUUCUGGUAAUCUGUCUUUUAUUACCAGGAGUUCUCAG